GAUGAACGCUGGCGGCGUGCCUAAUACAUGCAAGUCGAGCGAACAGACGAGGAUCUUUCUCCUCUGACGUUAGCGACGGGCGGGUGAUUAACACGUGGAUUACCUACCUAUAAGACUUAGAUAACGUCGAGAAACCGUAGUUAAGGCCAGGUAAUAUAUUGAACCGCAUGGUUGGAUAGUGGAGUUCUGGUUUGCUUUUACUUAGACAUAGAUCCUCUCCGCAUUAUCUAGUUGUUAAGGUAAAGGCUUACCAAGGCAAGUAUGCGCAGCCGACCUGAGAGAGUGGUAGGCCACACUGGAACUGGACCACGGUCCCGACUACUAAGGGAGGCACCAGUAGGGUAUGUUACGCAACGGGGGAAAGCAUGACGGAGCAACGCCGAGUGAGAUAUGAAGGUCUCCGGAGAGUAAAAAUCUGUUACUAGGGAAGAACAAAUGUGUAAGUCAAUAUGCCCGUAUUGACGGUAGCUACUCAGAAAGCCACGGCUAACUACGUG
rnacentral:rRNA from 1 species